rnacentral:rRNA from 1 species
UACGGGGGGGGGGUAAGCGUUGUUCGGAAUUACUGGGCGUAAAGGGCUCGUAGGUGGCCAACUAAGUCAGACGUGAAAUCCCCAGGCUCAACUUGGGAACUGCGUCUGAUACUGGAUGGCUUGAAUUCGGGAGAGGGAUGCAGAAUUCCUGGUGUAGCGGUGAAAUGCGCAGAUAUCAGGAGGAACACCGGUGGCGAAGGCGGGUCUCUGGGCCGAUACUGACGUGAGGAGCGAAAGCGUGGGGAGCGAACAGG